AUUGAACGCUGGCGGCAGGCCUAACACAUGCAAGUCGAGCGGAUGAAGGGAGCUUGCUCCUGGAUUCAGCGGCGGACGGGUGAGUAAUGCCUAGGAAUCUGCCUGGUAGUGGGGGAUAACGUCCGGAAACGGGCGUUAAUACCGCAUACGUCGUGAGGGAGAAAGUGGGGGAUCUUCGGACCUCACGCUAUCAGAUGAGCCUAGGUCGGAUUAGCUAGUUGGUGGGGUAAAGGCCUACCAAGGCGACGAUCCGUAACUGGUCUGAGAGGAUGAUCAGUCACACUGGAACUGAGACGCGGUCCAGACUCCUACGGGAGGCAGCAGUGGGGAAUAUUGGACAAUGGGCGAAAGCCUGAUCCAGCCAUGCCGCGUGUGUGAAGAAGGUCUUCGGAUUGUAAAGCACUUUAAGUUGGGAGGAAGGGCAGUAAGUUAAUACCUUGCUGUUUUGACGGUACCAACAGAAUAAGCACCGGCUAACUUCGUG
rnacentral:rRNA from 1 species